GGGGAGGAAAAUCCAGAGUUAUUUCAAACAUUUUGACUGCCCAGAUUACAUCUCAUACAGCAGCUCAGCCAUUUCGCCAGCAGCCAAACAAACGUUCAGCCUAUCGAUUCACCGGAUCAUGUGACGUCACGGAGACACAAGGCAGUGAAAGGAUAGGCUGCAGUCCUGCGGAUGACACCUUCCUUCGCAAAAUGGCUGACAA